rnacentral:rRNA from 1 species
AUGUGUUUAACUAUGGCAUUAGAAAGUUACUUUGAGUUAGCUGCAUAAAAUAAUUUUAU